rnacentral:rRNA from 1 species
GAUGAACGCUAGCGGGAGGCCUAACACAUGCAAGCCGAGCGGUAUUGUUUCUUCGGAAAUGAGAGAGCGGCGUACGGGUGCGGAACACGUGUGCAACCUGCCUUUAUCUAGAGGAUAGCCUUUCGAAAGGAAGAUUAAUACUCUAUAAUAUAUUAAUUGGCAUCAAUUGAUAUUGAAAACUCCGGUGGAUAGAGAUGGGCACGCGCAAGAUUAGCUAGUUGGUGAGGUAACGGCUCACCAAGGCUAUGAUCUUUAGGGGGCCUGAGAGGGUUACCCCCAACAGUGGUAUUGGGCCACGGACCAGACUCCUUCGGGAGGAAGCAGUGAGGAAUAUUGUUCAAUUGGUGCAAGCCUGAACCAGCCGUCCCGCGUGAAGGAUUAAGGUCCUAUGGAUUGUAAACUUCUUUUGUAUAGGGAUAAACCUACCCUCGUGAGGGUAGCUGAAGGUACUAUACGAAUAAGCACCGGCUAACUCCGUGCCAGCAGCCGCCGUAACAC